GAACCUUUGGCACAGUGGUAGCGCGUGAGAUUCCAGAGUUCGGCUUUACUCCGAUUCUUGGGAGAUCCUCAAGGUCGUCCGUUCAAUCCGGGCAAGGUUCA